rnacentral:lncRNA from 1 species
CAAAUCCAGGUCUGCUCACCUCCAGGCCCAGGGCCUGUCCACUGUGCCACCCAGCCUCCUCUAAGGCAGCUGAAUCACUGAGGAAGCUGAGGCACAAAUCAUUCUCGACAUUUCUGUUCUCAGACAAUUAACCUUGAUACAACAGAGCAAGCUUGGGCCGCAAGUUGGUCAAGGAAAAGAACAGUUUGAGAAAAGGUGGGACUUAGCAAUGGGCAAAAUGGUACUUGGAAAACCAGAGCUUUUAACAGACUCAGACAUGAAUUCGAUAUCACCCAUCAAGAGAUUUCCAAGACUGACUGAGGGGAAAAGCUUUCUGUUUGACGCUUGCUCUACCUCUGGUUUGCUGUAUGGUUUUAGAUCUAGACUCAACUAUAUCUUGGACAGUGAGUGAUGUUCCUGAGAACCUACAGCUAAAUUUACUGAGGUAAUUUGAAUAGUAGCAAACCAAGACUUAUCUUCCCCUCCCUGCCUAUACCCAUCUCACCCCUGCCCUGUGAUUGUUAAUGAGAACAAGUUCUGGCCAGAUCAACUUAACCCAAGGUUUUCAGUUGGUACUGGAUCAACUUAGGCAGCAGCAAAGGGAAUUUCCACUGGGUGGGUUCCAUCUGAUACUUCCAAAAUACUCAGAGUGGAUGGUGAGGAUCGAAGUCAAGCAUUGUUUUAUUUGGAAACUCAAAAAACUUUAAACAAGUUGGGCAGAUUGCUAUUCUGAGUUAAAAUUAUUAUGUAAAGUUCUUGUAGCAUCUGGGGAUGGGGGAGGAGAGGAGUGAUGGUGGUAGAGUUAAUGACUUGCUUGGCAGGAUGGGCAAAGUUGGAGGAUCCAGGACUUUUGGGGAAUUGUUGUUUGUGACACCACUAAGGGAGACUCGGGCAGGGCUAGGACAGAGGUAAAGUUUAGCAAGUCUGUUCUUACAAAAAUACA